AUGGAUGUUGCCUACCACAUCGACUUUGAUGGUUGCAUCAACCUAACUACUGGGUGGAAGGAGUUUGUGGUAGAGUCUGGAUUUGAGGAUGGUGAUGUGGUUAUGGCUGCACUCUCUAGGGUUCUUUUGCUGUUGAACGAGCGUUUGGCGGCAGUGAUACUGGAUUAUGUUGGAGUGCCGUUAAUGACAGCCAUGGUGUUCCUGAGGACAUUGCUGAUGUUGUUAAAGAUAUUAAUGAUGGAAUGUAUUCUCUUAACAUUGAUGAUGGUGAUGGCAGCUUGCAGUUGUCUGUUACUCAGUCUCAAAGUGUUGAUGGCACUGAGCCUGUUACCCAGGCUGAGGAUGUUCCUAUGCACAAAGCUGAUGGGGAUAGUGUUGCUGUGA
rnacentral:rRNA from 1 species